rnacentral:tRNA from 1 species
UAGGGAGACCUACCCGUUUUGUUUUGAGAGCUUAGUUAAUUACUAAGUUAUUAGAGAGAAAGCUGGUCAUCCCAAGGUCGUUGAGGAUUUGAGUGUUGACUUCCAAGCUAUGUAAGAUUGGUUCGGGUUAUGGGCUAUUAGCUCAGGUGGUUAGAGCGCACCCCUGAUAAGGGUGAGGUCCCUGGUUCGAGUCCAGGAUGGCCCACCUUUAGAGACAUAGGGGGGUUUAGCUCAGUUGGUAGAGCGCCUGCUUUGCAAGCAGGAUGUCAACGGUUCGAGUCCGUUAACCUCCACUGAAAGCUGAGAGCUUUCGAUACUAGAGCGAACCAAGUUUAACUUCAGCAACUCAUCUAAUUUUCUAAUUUUUUGAUAUUUAGAGAGCCUGCUGGAUUUAAUCCAGUCAGAACCUUGAAAACUGCAUAGAAACUUGUCAGGUAGAAAGUAGUGGUCUUUCAGCGAAUUGCUCACGAGGUAAUUCAAGGGAAGGCACAACAGAUAUCACAGACACCAAUGUUGAUUGAUUUUAAGU